UGCAAGUCGAACGAUGAAGCCGGGUGCUUGCACCGGGUGGAUUAGUGGCGAACGGGUGAGUAUCACGUGAGUAACCUGCCCUUGACUCUGGGAUAAGCCUGGGAAACUGGGUCUAAUACCGGAUAUGACCAGUCCUCGCAUGGGGUGCUGGUGGAAAGAUUUAUCGGUCUUGGAUGGACUCGCGGCCUAUCAGUUUGUUGGUGAGGUAAUGGCUCACCAAGGCGAUGACGGGUAGCCGGCCUGAGAGGGUGACCGGCCACACUGGGACUGAGACACGGCCCAGACUCCUACGGGAGGCAGCAGUGGGGAAUAUUGCACAAUGGGCGCAAGCCUGAUGCAGCGACGCCGCGUGCGGGAUGACGGCCUUCGGGUUGUAAACCGCUUUCAGCAGGGAAGAAGCUUUUUGUGACGGUACCUGCAGAAGAAGCGCCGGCUAACUACGUGCCAGCAGCCGCGGUAAUACGUAGGGCGCGAGCGUUAUCCGGAAUUAUUGGGCGUAAAGGGCUCGCAGGCGGUUUGCCACGUCUGCUGUGAAAGCCCGGGGCUUAACUCCGGGUGUGCAGUGGGUACGGGUAGACUAGAGUGCAGUAGGGGAGACUGGAAUUCCUGGUGUAGCGGUGAAAUGCGCAGAUAUCAGGAAGAACACCGAUGGCGAAGGCAGGUCUCUGGGCUGUUACUGACGCUGAGGAGCGAAAGCAUGGGGAGCGAACAGGAUUAGAUACCCUGGUAGUCCAUGCCGUAAACGUUGGGCACUAGGUGUGGGGGACAUUCCACGUUUUCCGCGCCGUAGCUAACGCAUUAAGUGCCCCGCCUGGGGAGUACGGCCGCAAGGCUAAAACUCAAAGGAAUUGACGGGGGCCCGCACAAGCGGCGGAGCAUGCGGAUUAAUUCGAUGCAACGCGAAGAACCUUACCAAGGCUUGACAUGGACCGGAUCGCUGCAGAGAUGUAGUUUCCCUUCGGGGCUGGUUCACAGUGGUGCAUGGUGUCGUCAGCUCGUGUCGUGAGAUGUUGGGUUAGUCCCGCACGAGCGCAACCC
rnacentral:rRNA from 1 species